rnacentral:lncRNA from 1 species
AUGGAACCUGCAUCCUCAUGGAUGUUAGUCAGAUUCGUUUCUGCUGAGCCAUGACGGGAACUCCCCCAAACCUUUUUGAUUACUGUAGAUUUAGGAUAUAAUUUGAAAUCUGGGAGCAUGCUACCUCCAGCUUUAUUCUUCUGUAUCAAGAUUGUUUUAGGUCUUCAGGGUGUUUUGUGGUGCUGUACAAAUAUUAGGACUAUUUGUUAUAAUUCUUUUGAAAAAUGCAUUGGCACCCAUUACCUGUGGGUCGCUGCUGUCCAGUUCUGCAGCCUCCUCAGCCCCCUGGAGUUGAGGGAUCUGGGCCGCCCCUGCCUAGAGCUGCUGUGGAAGCCAGAGAAAAGAGCCAAGCCUGCUAGUGGGGGUGCGUUGGACCUCAUUCCUGUGGACGGUUCUGUAAGGUCACUCCUGCCCCAGCCUGGCUCUCCCUCGCCAGCUGUGCCAGUUGCUUGGGCAUCUGGCUGGCUGUGAGGCUGGCUGUGCAGUUUGGAAGCAGUUUGCCAGGUUAGUGCAGCAAAGGUUGUGUUCUCCUGCCCUCGUGUGGUCAGUCCUGGGAUAGCAAGUGCUGGGUUUCCUUGCCUCUCUGAUGCUAUGCUGGAAAUGGCCGCCAGAGGGCAGAUUUCUUAGCACUGUGCCACUGGAUAUGCUCCCCUCUCCACCCUCAGUUUUACACAUGUAGAUUAAGAAAACAAAAACACGUUGUCGUGAGCUGUGGUGUAGGUUGCAGCCGUGACUCGGAUCCCGAGUUGCUGUGGCUCUGGUGUAGGACGGCAGCUACAGCUCCGAUUAGACCCCUAGCCUGGGAACCACCAUAAGCCGCGGGAGCGGCCCCAGAAAUGGCACAAAGACAAACAAAAACAAAAACAAAACAAACAAACGAAAACAGCCUUGAGUCAGAAUUCUUUUUUUAAAAUGACAAAUAACUGACUUACAACAUUAUUUUAGUUUCAGGUGUAAAAUACUUGAUACAUUACAAAAUGAUCAGCAGGAUAAGUCUAAUUACCUACCACCUUUCACCAUAGAAAGUUGUUACACUACUUUGACUAUAUUCCCUAUGCUGCACAUUACAUCUCAUGACUUCUUUAUUUUAUAGCUGGAAAUCUGUACCUUCUAAUUUCCUUCACCUAUUUUUUCCCACCCCCUCACCCCCUCCCUCUGACAACCACCAGUGUUUUUCUCUGCCUCUGUAAGUCUGUUUCCAUUUUUUUAUGUUCAUUUGUUUUUGUUUUCUCAAGAUUCCACAUAUGAGUGAAAUCAGGGUAUUUGUCUUCCUCUGUCAGAUUUAUUUCCCUUAGCCAAACACCUUCUAGAUCCAUCUGUGUUGUUGCAAAUGGCAAGAUUUCAUGCUUUUUACAGCUGAGUAAUUAAAUGUAAUUGUACAUGCAUAUAUAUGUGUACGCAAUCACAUAUUAAUUAUUCAUGCACCACAUUGUCUUUAUACAUUUAUCGAGGAUUCAUAGGUUGCUUCCCU